AAGCUUGCCCAAAGGGGGAGACACUAUGAUCACGCAGGUGUUUUUCCUGGGGUGAGGCUUCUCCACUGCACUCCACAUGUGCUGACCCUUAUGAUUGUCCUAAAUUAGGAAAAUGGCAUAAUUGGUGGUAGUGGAAGGCUGUGUUCCCACCUCCCCCCU
ensembl:snRNA LOC120101392 U1 spliceosomal RNA